rnacentral:rRNA from 1 species
GAUGAACGCUGGCGGUGUGCCUAAUACAUGCAAGUCGAGCGAACAGACGAGGAGCUUACUCCUCUGACGUUAGCGGCGGACGGGUGAGUAACACGUGGAUAACCUACCUAUAAGACUGGGAUAACUUCGGGAAACCGGAGCUAAUACCGGAUAAUAUGUUGAACCGCAUGGUUCAACAGUGAAAGACGGUCUUGCUGUUACUUAUAGAUGGAUCCGCGUUGCAUUAGCUAGUUGGUAAGGUAACGGCUUACCAAGGCAACGAUGCGUAGCCGACCUGAGAGGGUGAUCGGCCACACUGGAACUGAGACACGGUCCAGACUCCUACGGGAGGCAGCAGUAGGGAAUCUUCCGCAAAGGGCGAAAGCCUGACGGAGCAACGCCGCGUGAGUGAAGAAGGUCUUCGGAUCGUAAAACUCUGUUAUUAGGGAAGAAAAAAUGUGUAAGUAACUAUGCACGUCUUGACGGUACCUAAACAGAAAGCCCCGGCUAACUUCGUG